rnacentral:lncRNA from 1 species
AAACAGGGAUUCUCUGUAUAGCCCUGCUGUCCUGGAACUCAUGCUGCAGAUGAGGCUGACCCUUGAAGUGAGAGAGCUGCUUGCCCCUGCCUUCUUACUGCUGAGAUUAAAGGUCUGUGUAUCAUUUUUGAGAUAAACUCAGUGUAAACUAUAAGGCAAAGACAUGUUCGAAUUUAAUCUACAUAUAACACCCAGCAUGGAGAGAAUCAGAAACCAAGAGCAUGGUGUACUCAGUCUAACCCACAGGUUAUGGGCCAGAGCUUCAUAAUGAAAUAGUGAAAUGAGAAUGUAUGUUUUUUAUCAAGGAGUUCAUUGUCCUUUCUGGUACACUACACCACCCAGUGCCUAAUCUGUCUAAACAGGAGGCAGGGCUGACACAGCGACCUCCUCAUGUGGAAUCACCCGGAACCAUUUCUGUUCCAGCUCUUCUGUUUUUUGGCAAGUGCAUCUAAAAAUUGAGGAUGAAAGUCUAGGUGACUUUCUGGUGGCUGUGCAGAUGAGAAGUCGGACAGUGGCACUGCAGUUUGCUCUGAUUGACUCUGGAGCCUGUGUUUGAAGCUACAGCAAUACAACAGUCUGCUCCAGCGCUGAGCUUGUAGGAAGGCGACCACUCCAGGCCGACUCAAUGGCUUUAGCCUCCAGAGUUAUCGUCGUUUGGCAGGAAGUCUUAAAGAACCCCACAGCGUGCCCUUCCGCCCCUGGCACAUCAUAAGCUAUUUUGGGAUGAGUCAUCGGAAUUCUGUGGUUUGCAUAUCCUGAAGGGGAAGAGAAGACACUGUAUGGCUAACAUUUAUUUGAAAUAGCAAGUUGGAAAGAAAAAUUCUUCGAUAAAAGUUCAGCAUUAGAUUUCUGACAUUUGGUUUUGUUCUGUGACCCAUUUGGCUCGUCAGGGCCAUCUGUGUGACCAUUAGAUGGGACUAUCAUUGAAGCCAUGUUGGGUCUUUGGUGAUAGCACAGAUGGGGCUCACCCAUGAGGUCUGAGUUAUGGCAAUAAUUUCAGAUUCUGUGAAGUUUCUUGUGAAAGUGAAGGAGCAAAUACCCUCAACAGGGAAAGAACUGUUUUUUCCUAAUCCAAAAUGGCUUCAAUUUCAAAUGGUGCAGGGAAGUUGCCGUCACGCAAAGGAUUUGGCCAG